ACCCCCUUGGCCCAAUGGAUAAGGCAUCAGACUUCUAAUCUGAGGAUUGCGGGUUCGAAUCCCGCAGGGGGUG
rnacentral:tRNA from 1 species